ensembl:snRNA U6 U6 spliceosomal RNA
GUGCUAAAAGCUGUAGAACAUAUAAUAAAAUUGGAUCAAUACAGAGAAGAUUAAAGUGAAAGUGAAGUGAUUGUCACAUGUGAUACACAGCAGCACAGCACACGGUGCACACAGUGAAAUUUACCCUCUGCAUUUAUCCCAUCACCGUUGGUGAAGAGUGUGCAGCCAUGACAGGAGCCCGGGGAGCAGUGUGUGGGGAUGGUGCUUUGCUCAGUGACACCUCAGUGGCACCUUGGCGGAUCAGGAUUCGAACCAGCAACCUUCUGAUUACGGGGCCGCUUCCUUAACCACUAGGCCACCACUGCCCCAAAUACAACCGUGGCCAGUACGGGGAUUGAAACCGUGACCUUGCCGUUAUUAGAAUCACGCUCUAAUCAGCUGAGCUGACCAGCCUUGACGAUUAGCAUGGCCCCUGUGAAAAUAUGACAUGCAAAUCCGUGAAGUGUUCUAUAUUCUU